rnacentral:rRNA from 1 species
GCGAUUCGCCCUUCGGGGUGCAGCAGGCGCGAAAACUUUACAAUGCGGGAAACCGUGAUAAGGGGACACCGAGUGCCAGCAUCAUAUGCUGGCUGUCCAGGUGUGUAAAAUACACCUGUCAGCAAGGGCCGGGCAAGACCGGUGCCAGCCGCCGCGGUAACACCGGCGGCCCGAGUGGUGAUCGUGAUUAUUGGGUCUAAAGGGUCCGUAGCCGGUUUGGUCAGUCCUCCGGGAAAUCUGACGGCUCAACCGUUAGGCUUUCGGGGGAUACGGCCAGGCUUGGAACCGGGAGAGGUAAGAGGUACUACAGGGGUAGGAGUGAAAUCUUGUAAUCCCUGUGAGACCACCUGUGGCGAAGGCGUCUUACCAGAACGGGUUCGACGGUGAGGGACGAAAGCUGGGGGCACGAACCGGAUUAGAUACCCGGGUAGUCCCAGCCGUAAACGAUGCUCGCUAGGUGUCAGGCAUGGCGCGACCGUGUCUGGUGCCGCAGGGAAGCCGUGAAGCGAGCCACCUGGGAAGUACGGCCGCAAGGCUGAAACUUAAAGGAAUUGGCGGGGGAGCAC